ensembl:lncRNA
AUACAUUAUUUACAUACAGGGCUAGCUAGUUAACUUUAGAAAAUGGUGUCAAGUGAAUAAAUAUAGACAGAGACAGGUUUGGAUGAAGACCGGAGAUCAGAAGUAAAUCAGACUGAAGAGGAGAAGCAGCUAAACACUCUCAAGUGAACUUUAUAAUAUCAGGGUCAUCAACAUUGUUAUUUAUUUUUCCCCUCAAAAUGCAUAGAUAUUUUUCAACACGUUCUUGUUGGUACAUCAUUACACCAGUAGAUGGCGGUAGAUGCUUGACAGAAUCCAGUUGAUGAAGUGAAGGAGGUGACAGUAAGUAAAAGAAAAACUCACAAGGUAUUUUGUUCUGAUUUAUUUAUUUAUUUUUAAAUUGUCCAGCAGAUCUCAUGAUAAAAUGGUUGUGUAUUUUUAUUGCUAUACAGAGUACAAAACCGAGCAGCUUCACACACGGGAUCACUGAAUCAUGAUAGUUUUCUAAUCACUACACGGUAGGUAAAGGAGACCACCACAAUUUAGGAUUCUGGAUCAGAGAUUAAAUUAAAAACUCAGAAAUCAUUCAGCUGCUCACGGCUUCACUAAAAAGCUCUCUGUGAACAAAACGCAUAGAACAACAUGGUGUAGUCUUUAAAUACUUACCUGUAGAGUGAACCGCAGCCUUCGUUAUUCAAGUUAACACUGUUUCAGUAAUAUAUUCUAAUAAUAUAUACCUGCUAGGCUAACGCUAACUGCAGCUUGGAGACAUUAUUCAAGUAUAAAUGGAAUGAUUCAUCACGUAAACCAGUUUUUUCAUACGCACCUCAUUUCCUCCUUCUGCUUCUUCUUCUUCUUCUUUCUUCUGUGAAGCAGCUCUCUGGUUCUUCUAGCGCUGGACAAGUCUUUUAAUAAAUAAACACAAACCGCUUGUGUUAACAUCAACAUACAUUUAUAAAUUACAUUUUAAAUGAAAGUUUCUCACAUUUGAAGGAAAUCUGUGUAUUUCACUGUAAUGGACUUCUGAUGUUUUUAUCAAGAGGAGUCAAACUGAAGCUGUAGUUGUGCAGAGUAGCGAUGUGUUUCGAUUCAAAGUGAAUCAGAUCUCACUUAGACGGGUAGUUGGCAAGAAUCAGUAAAGUGUGUCGUAAUAGUGAGUCAAAUUAAUUAAAACACACUCAGAAGGAUAGUUUGAAAGAUGUGACUCGGUAAGUACAGUCUCAGAAAUAUGCCUAUGUUCUUCCUGUUAAUUCGGGCUCUUCUAUUUCCUACAGAUGGACAAGGAUUAUAUUAAUAG